GGCAAGAUGGCCGAGUGGUCUAAGGCGCUGUGUUCAGGCUCUCCUCGGAGAUACCUUGACAACCAAUUCGCAGUCUCCCUGAGGCGUGGGUUCGAAUCCCACUCUUGUCA